rnacentral:rRNA from 1 species
AGUGAACGCUGGCGGUAGGCCUAACACAUGCAAGUCGAACGGCAGCACAGUAAGAGCUUGCUCUUACGGGUGGCGAGUGGCGGACGGGUGAGGAAUACAUCGGAAUCUACUUUUUCGUGGGGGAUAACGUAGGGAAACUUACGCUAAUACCGCAUACGACCUACGGGUGAAAGAAGGGGAUCUUCGGACCUUGCGCGAUUGAAUGAGCCGAUGUCGGAUUAGCUAGUUGGCGGGGUAAAGGCCCACCAAGGCGACGAUCCGUAGCUGGUCUGAGAGGAUGAUCGGCCACACUGGAACUGAGACACGGUCCAGACUCCUACGGGAGGCAGCAGUGGGGAAUAUUGGACAAUGGGCGCAAGCCUGAUCCAGCCAUACCGCGUGGGUGAAGAAGGCCUUCGGGUUGUAAAGCCCUUUUGUUGGGAAAGAAAAGCAGCAGGUUAAUACCCCGCUGUUCUGACGGUACCCAAAGAAUAAGCACCGGCUAACUUCGUG